UACGUAGGGUGCGAGCGUUGUCCGGAAUUAUUGGGCGUAAAGAGCUUGUAGGCGGUGUGUCACGUCGGCCGUGAAAACCUGCAGCUUAACUGUGGGCGUGCGGUCGAUACGGGCAUCACUGGAGUUCGGCAGGGGAGACUGGAAUUCCUGGUGUAGCGGUGAAAUGCGCAGAUAUCAGGAGGAACACCGGUGGCGAAGGCGGGUCUCUGGGCCGAUACUGACGCUGAGGAGCGAAAGCGUGGGGAGCAAACAGG
rnacentral:rRNA from 1 species